CAGCCAAGAGAACUAAAUUGGGUGAGCACUGAGCAAUGGCUAGCAUUAUAUGGUUAUGGAUUGAUAUCUCAACAGUAACCAAAUUAUGAGGUCAUUUUUUACCGUGUCAUGCUUGCUCAAAGUCAGCUCUGGAUAAUAGAUCAGGUUAGUAAGGUCCAUAGUUUACAGUUAUACAAUUACAUGGAUGGAUAUAUUGUAUAUGGGUGAGAGUUGAAUCACUUAAUACAGUGUCAUGAUUGCUGAAAUUCAGCUCAAGAGAAUUAGACUGGGCAAGUCCUGGAUGGAUAUCCUAGCAGUUAUCAAGCUAUGAGGUCACUUCAUACAGUUUCAUGAUUGCUCAAAAUCAGCUCAAGGUAAAAGAUCGGGUGAGUAAAGUUCGGAUUACACUUAUACAAUUGGGUGGAGAUAUGGGUUGGAGUUGAACCACUUAAAGAAAUGUGAAGAGUUCACACGAAACCCACAACAGCUAUAGCAAUAACAUUGGAUAUCUUAUACAUGGUGAAAGAGUAAACGACAAAAGCAACAACAGCUAUAGCAAUAACAUUGGAUAUCUUGUACAUGGUGAAAGAGUAAACGACAAAACAACAACAGCUAUAGCAAUAACAUGGAUGGAUACUUUUUUUUGAUAACAAAGGAAACCCGCAGCCGCCACCCUUUGGGUGUGCACAAGCUAACAUGGAUGGAUAUCUUGUAUUCAAUGAAAAGUUAACCGCAGCAAACAACAGCAAGAAGUAUGUCAUAAUACCAGGCAAGUUGGAUUGUGAAGAGUUGACAAGUUGCUCGAAAGACCACAGGAUGUGACAAUGUCAGUUAUAAGGGUGACAAUUAUGUCAGGACACCAUUGAUGGUGGGAUAGCAGGUGUCCGUGGAAUAGUUGAGGUGUGCACACGCUAUAGCAUGAACGCCAUCGUUGGGAAAAAUGUCAGGAUACCAAUUCUCUUACUUUCAAGGCCGACAAUUUUGGCUUCUUGAUAGACAAUAACCUUAGUGAUAUAGUGAAGAGUAGAUGGAUGGCAGCUUAGUUAACGUUAUUGGCACGUUUUGGUGAACUUUGAGGUGUAAGAUAAAAUCUCUACAUCACCUUCUUAUGCUUCACAAGUCUUUCAUUUCUAGCAGUUGUGCUUAGUAGUAGCUUGUGAAGAAUGUAAAACUUCUAGGUCGGGUUCCAGAUAAGUCUGUUUUUAGCAAAUCCUAGUACAAGACAGUAGCAUUAUGAGAAUCUGAUGAUUCUCUUUUACAUCAAGUACUUUGGUAUAUGUACUAUAUGUUCUUUAGGGUCUUUAACAUAUGCACUAACGGUAGUUCAUGAAGCUUGAAACUGUUGUUGUACUAUAUUAACACUA